UACGUAGGGUGCAAGCGUUGUCCGGAAUCAUUGGGCGUAAAGCGCGCGUAGGCGGCCCUGUAAGUCCGCUGUGAAAGUCAAAGGCUCAACCUUUGGAAGCCGGUGGAUACUGCAGGGCUAGAGUCCGGAAGAGGCGAGUGGAAUUCCUGGUGGUAGCGGUGGAAAUGCGCAGAUAUCAGGAGGAACACCAAUAGCGAAGGCAGCUCGCUGGGACGGUAACUGAC
rnacentral:rRNA from 1 species